rnacentral:rRNA from 1 species
AAGCAAUUAUACCGUGAAACUGCGAAUGGCUCAUUAAAUCAGUUAUCGUUUAUUUGAUAGUACCUUACUACUUGGAUAACCGUGGUAAUUCUAGAGCUAAUACAUGCUUAAAAUCCCGACCUCUGGAAGGGAUGUAUUUAUUAGAUAAAAAAUCAAUGCUUCGGCUUGUUGAUGAUUCAUAAUAACUUUUCGAACCGCAUGGCUUUAGGCCGGCGGUGGUUCAUUCAAAUUUCUGCCCUAUCAACUUUCGAUGGUAGGAUAGUGGCCUACCAUGGUUUCAACGGGUAACGGGGAAUAAGGGUUCGAUUCCGGAGAGGGAGCCUGAGAAACGGCUACCACAUCCAAGGAAGGCAGCAGGCGCGCAAAUUACCCAAUCCCGACACGGGGAGGUAGUGACAAUAAAUAACGAUGCAGGGCCCUUAUGGGUCUUGUAAUUGGAAUGAGUACAAUGUAAAUACCUUAACGAGGAACAAUUGGAGGGCAAGUCUGGUGCCAGCAGCCGCGGUAAUUCCAGCUCCAAAAGCGUAUAUUAAAGUUGUUGCAGUUAAAAAGCUCGUAGUUGAACCUUGGGCAUGGUUGGCCGGUCCGCUUUUUGCGAGUACUGGACUCGACCGUGCCUUUCCUUCUGGGGCGCGCAAGCAAACCAGGACUUUUACUUUGAAAAAAUUAGAGUGUUCAAAGCAGGCCUUUGCUCGAAUAUAUUAGCAUGGAAUAAUAGAAUAGGACGUAUGGUUCUAUUUUGUUGGUUUCUAGGACCAUCGUAAUGAUUAAUAGGGACGGACGGGGGUAUCAGUAUUCAGUUGUCAGAGGUGAAAUUCUUGGAUUUACUGAAGACUAACUACUGCGAAAGCAUUUACCAAGCACGUUUUCAUUAAUCAAGAACGAAAGUUAGGGGAUCGAAGAUGAUCAGAUACCGUCGUAGUCUUAACCAUAAACUAUGCCGACUAGGGAUCGGGCGGAGUUCUUUUUUGACGCGCUCGGCACCUUACGAGAAAUCAAAGUCUUUGGGU